CCUACGGGAGGCAGCAGUGGGGAAUUUUGGACAAUGGGCGAAAGCCUGAUCCAGCAAUGCCGCGUGAGUGAAGAAGGCCUUCGGGUUGUAAAGCUCUUUUGUCAGGGAAGAAACGGUGAGGGCUAAUAUCCCUUGCUAAUGACGGUACCUGAAGAAUAAGCACCGGCUAACUACGUGCCAGCAGCCGCGGUAAUACGUAGGGUGCAAGCGUUAAUCGGAAUUACUGGGCGUAAAGCGUGCGCAGGCGGUUUUGUAAGUCUGUCGUGAAAUCCCCGGGCUCAACCUGGGAAUUGCGAUGGAGACUGCAAGGCUAGAAUCUGGCAGAGGGGGGUAGAAUUCCACGUGUAGCAGUGAAAUGCGUAGAGAUGUGGAGGAACACCGAUGGCGAAGGCAGCCCCCUGGGUCAAGAUUGACGCUCAUGCACGAAAGCGUGGGGAGCAAACAGGAUUAGAUACCCUGGUAGUCCACGCCCUAAACGAUGUCUACUAGUUGUCGGGUUUUAAUAACUUGGUAACGCAGCUAACGCGUGAAGUAGACCGCCUGGGGAGUACGGUGCAAGGAUUAAAACUUCAAAUGAAAUUGGUAGGCGNGAGAGNGCGACGGACGACGACGAGGAGGAGG
rnacentral:rRNA from 1 species